rnacentral:rRNA from 1 species
UGGGGAAUAUUGGGCAAUGGGCGCAAGCCUGACCCAGCAACGCCGCGUGAGGGAAGAAGGCCUUCGGGUUGUAAACCUCUGUCCUUAGGGACGAAAAAAAUGACGGUACCUAAGGAGGAAGCUCCGGCUAACUAAGUGCCAGCAGCCGCGGUAAUACGUAGGGAGCAAGCGUUGUCCGGAAUUACUGGGCGUAAAGGGUGCGUAGGUGGCCAUGCAAGUCAGAUGUGAAAUCCCCGGGCUUAACGCGGGUGCUGCAUUUGAAACUGCGUGGCUUGAGUGCAGGAGAGGAAAGCGGAAUUCCUAGUGUAGCGGUGAAAUGCGUAGAUAUUAGGAGGAACACCAGUGGCGAAGGCGGCUUUCUGGACUGUAACUGACACUGAGGCACGAAAGCGUGGGGAGCAAACA